rnacentral:lncRNA from 1 species
AAUCGGAAGAAGCAAAAGUAGAUGGCGUCGUGCUAGUAAGAUGGUAUCGAUAUGAUCUAGUCUCAAUUAAGUUAGUCGCAGAAAUGUUCGCAAAAUUUUUCGUUUGGAUACAAAAAACCAAGUGAAAAUGAUACUGGAAAGACUGUUAACCGUUUGACUCCUGUCUAACCUAGUGGGUUCAAAAAGAAGGCACCGCGCUGGAAACAUGAGUGGAUUAAAGGGAUCAGCCCUUUUUGAAUUAAUAGUUGAAGUGGUAACCAGCUAGAAGUCGUAACCUGCUCGUAUGAAAGGAUUUCUCAACGUGAAUUUGUUAAUUUUAUUCAACA